rnacentral:rRNA from 1 species
CCUACGGGAGGCAGCAGUGAGGAAUAUUGGUCAAUGGGCGGGAGCCUGAACCAGCCAAGCCGCGUGAGGGAAGAAGGUACAGCGUAUCGUAAACCUCUUUUGUCAGGGAACAAAGGCGGGGACUAGUCCCCGUAUGAGGGUACCUGAAGAAAAAGCAUCGGCUAACUCCGUGCCAGCAGCCGCGGUAAUACGGAGGAUGCGAGCGUUAUCCGGAUUUAUUGGGUUUAAAGGGUGCGCAGGCGGCCUGUUAAGUCAGCGGUAAAAGCCCGGGGCUCAACCCCGGCGAGCCGUUGAUACUGGGGGGAUGGAGUGGGAGAGAGGUAGGCGGAAUGCGCGGUGUAGCGGUGAAAUGAUUAGAUAUCGCGAAGAACCCCGAUUGAGAAGGCAGCGUACCGGAGCGACACUGACGCUGAGGCACGAAAGCGUGGGUAUCGAACAGGAUUAGAGACCCGGGGAGUC